AUCUAGUGAAGGGGAGACUCCAUUUUAUGGGAAGCAAGAUGACUGUGUUUUAGAAUCCACUGUGAACACUGCUAAGUUGAAUAGAGUGUUGGGAUGCUUUUCUGCUUGAAAGAAAGAAAGCAAAGCUGCAGGAGAAGGUAAAAGUGUAAAUGUCUCAUGGUCUAAUUGAGAUACAGAAGGCUGAGUGCUGAGCUCUGAAAAGGGAGGAAAAUACAGUAGUUUGGAAAUCAGAAGAAGAGACAGUAAGCCCAUGCUUGGAGAAGCAUGUGACUGUAAAUAUUAUGUUUUAAUUCAUCCAUAACUACGUCUCUGCAAGUAAAGUUUUUGAAGGUUAAAGUCUGGGUGUUGGUUCAAUGUCCAAAGAAGGGUGUCAGUUAUAUACAGUGGUACCUUGGGUUAUGAACUUAAUUCGUUCUGGGGGUCCGUUCUUAACCCAAAACUGUUCUUAACCUGAGGCGCGCUUUCACUAAUGGGGCCUCCCACUGCCACCGCAUGAUUUCCGUUCUCAUCCUGGGGCAAAGUUCUCAACCCGAGAUACUACUUCUGGGUUAGCGGAGUUUGUAACCCGAAGUGUUUGUAAUCCGAGGUACCACUGUAUAUGAUUUGAGCUUCUUAGCUGUGAUUUUGCUAUUCUUAAUUCAACAGUUUACUCAGAGGAACUGUGGCUGAGGAGGUGCUGUGACAUGGGAAACAUCCUCAGGACCAGAUUGAGAGCUUAGUGGGCCACAUUUGGCCCUCAAGCCUGAGAUUCCUCACCUCUGUGCAGGUCCAUUGGCUUCUGAAUAUGGAAUGGAGUGUGCCAUAUUGUCCUUUGCCUUAGGGACCAAAAUGUCUUUGACGUGGUCCUGUAGAGAGGCCUCCUGUGGCCUCAGUCGUACAAAGAUACUCCUAUCACCCCACACUGUGCUAUCAGCUGCUGGGAAGACAGACAAUAUCAUCCGGUUACCCAGGAAACCCAAAGAUUCUCUUGCUUUACUUGUCAUAGUCAGUGAACUUUGUAAAUAUUCAUAGCCCACACAAAAGACUCAAGGAAAGGGGGCAUUUUAGCAUCCUAUGUCUAAAGCUGUAAAGUGAGGGGAAAUUUCAUGGUUUGCUUGUUUUUUACUGCCUGCCUAGAACUGCAGAAACAGACAGAAUGUCAAGGUUGUACUAUCAGGUCAUUAUAUAUGUUUGGUGGGCUGUAAUAGCAUGGUAGGUUAGAAAUGCAGACUUUCAUUUGUGGACAAACCAGCCCUAAGGAUGACCACCCAGAUACGCUUCAAGUAUGAAAGUCUAAAUGUAAUACAGUGUUUCCUCGGGUUAAGAACUUAAUUCGUUCUGGAGGUCCGUUCUUAACCUGAAACUGUUCGUAACCUGAGGUACCACUUUAGCUAAUGGGGCCUCCCGCCGCCGCCACACGAUUUCUGUUCUCAUCCUGAAGCAAAGUUCUUAACCUGAGGUACUAUUUCUGGGUUAGUGAAGUCUGCAACCUGAAGCGUCUGUAACCCGAGGUACCACUGUAAAAUCUUCCUGUGUUUGCCUAACCAUGUCUACUCAGAGGUUAAGUCCUACUGGAUUAAAUGAGUCUUACUUCUAGGUAAGUAGGGGUAGAAUUGCAGCCUUACAUUCUCUUAAACAUCUAAACACUGUAUAAAUAUAUACACCAUCAAAUGCUACAAAUGGAAUAGAGCAGAAUGAUCUGAGUUUCAAAAUGUCUGCUUGAAGCUCACAAUGGGGCUUUGUUCUCUGUCCCUGAUUGGAAGAAGUUAUUAUUAAUACUUUAAUUCAAAUGAGCUAUGUCUAAAGAGAGCCUGGUUUUUAUAUCUUUGAUUCAUUAAAAUGAUAAGGCUCUGUGCCGAACAAUUGUCUUGUAAUUAUUGCAGUUUUGAAGCACAGCUUUGGGUUGCUACUUGUAAAAGGGUAUCAGCAAAUCAGACUUGAUGAGCUAUUGUCUGAGGAAGGGUUUUUUGGGGGUUUUUUGCUGAUAAUUUGACGUGUUUGUAGAUUUUGUGAAAGUUGCGUGCGGAGCAGACAAAGAUAUUAGACUUGUGACAGAUGUGAAUUACAGUUCAGUUCAUUGGAUAGAUUCAGCCAUUGUUUUAUGAAGAUGUUUGUUUUGGAAUUGUUUUCUUACAGCCAUAAUUUGCCUAAAGCACAACUGUUGUUUCUCAUCAAGACAUCAGCUACUUUCCUUCCAUCUCACUUUGUUUUCUAGUCUUUUCUGUUUCUAAGGUACUGCUUAUACAUAUAUGUGCAUGUGCUAUGAUGUGCAUCCUAUAUAGAAGUCACAUGAGCACAAGCCCCUCCCCCAUGUCACAUGUUUACUGGGAAUAACAAGUGGGGAGAGUGUUCUCGUGCUCAGAUGCUUUUUGCAGACUUCCUAGAUGUCAGGGAACUGGGGGCUGAGAAGGGGGAAAUGAUGGGGAAAUACAGAGAUCAGCCUCCGAUCGUAAGUAGUUGCACCUCAUCAGAGGGGGAGGAUGACGAAGGGAUGUCAGGAAGCAAUGAAUCAGGGAGGGGGGAGCAAUUUCCGGGGCUUAGCUCUUCACGUAAAAGAGGAAGGAAAAGGGAGGGCUCCGGAAGUGGCUAUGCUGGAGAAAACGAAAGGAACAUUCAGUCUCUGCAUCUGAUACCGAAUGAGCCGGACGUGCUCUGAGAGCUCUGUGUGUAAAUAGGAAAAUGGACCUAAUAAAACCUGUAAAACUGGCUGGAGGCCCGGACUCUUAUCUCUUCUAGCACCCACCAAUCAUCCUUGACACUAGAGGCAUCUGCUUGUCCACUGCAAGAGCCAGAUGUUGGACAACAUGGGCCUUUGGCUGAAUUGAGCACGGUGCUUCCUAUGUUUCCUGGGCCUAACAGAGACCCGGUGAGCCCUGGCCCCUCAAGACUGGGGGGCUCAGCCCUGUCCCCGCAUACUUUAGGGGUCUGAGCUGUCCUCGGCCCCUUAGAGUUGGCACAUAUGCCAGCAAGUGAUGUUCAGAGGCAUUCCGAGUACUUUUGAAUACCUGGGGCAGGCAUCUAUAGCUUCAGUGCCACAGUGCCAAGGUUGCUUGUAAAAACGCACAGAUUAAGCACAAUUGCAUUUUAAAAAAUGCAUAUAUUGGGAGAAAUGUGAGAAAGGUGCUGGCAAAUUUUCACAAAGUGUUUUUUAAUUGCACAUCGAUGCGGAAAUGUGAUGAACGGAAUUUCAGAUUGGAAAAAAGAGAAGUGGAAACAAACUAAAAUUGACAGAGUCAUUCAUCCCUGACUUAGUGGAGGGAGGAAGGAAGGGAGGGUCAUAGCUCAGUGGUGGAGCAUCUUCUUUCAUCCAGGUGGAGCUGGGGGAAAUUCCCUGUAUGAAACCCUAAAGAAUCAGGCAGUGUAAACAAUACUGUGUUAAGUGAACCUUUGGUCUGGCUCAGUAUAUGGCAGUUUCCUGUGUUCCUUUCUUCCUUAAAUGUCUUAGAGUCAUAGAAUCUUAGAGUUGUAAGGGACCCCUACGCCCUACAAUGCAGGAAUCUCAGCUAAAGCAGCCAUGACAUAUGGCCACCCAACCUCUGCUUGGUUGGAUGAGAUGGCACCAGAAAGAUGGAGAAGGAGCUGCCACUGUGAGAAAGCAAAGGUGAAAUUGUUUAUUUAUUUAUAAAAAUCAUUUUUAUUAAAUUUUCCACUUCAACAAUCCAAUCCAAUCACAUUAAAUAUUCCAAAUUAUACAUAUAAAUAUAAAAUAAUCUGAAUAUUCUGCCAAAUUAUAAUUUUUUAAUAGGACUUCCCAUGAUUCAAGUUCGGAGGGUUCUGAUCAUCUCAUACUUCUACUGCUUUUCAUAGUCACUUCCGAUGGUUCCUCUAAUUAUUUCUGUUCUUAACCUUCCUUCUUUCACAGCUUUCAUAGUUGUUCCCACAAGCGAGUUAAAACAAGCAAUGAUGUGUUUCUGUGUGGAUUUUUAUGUCACAAAGGUGAAAUUGUUUAAAUCAAGAAGGGAAGAGGGGAUAAGAAAGAAAGAAAGAAAGAAAGAAAGAAAGAAAGAAAGAAAGAAAGAAAGUAGGUGUGGAAAGGUUUAGUUUAGCAGAGUUAAACAAUCUCCUUUAUGCAGCCAUCAGCUUGUUGUUGACUUGUCUGAGUUCUUC